rnacentral:rRNA from 1 species
UUAAGCGACUAAGCGUACACGGUGGAUGCCCUGGCAGUCAGAGGCGAUGAAGGACGUGCUAAUCUGCGAUAAGCGUCGGUAAGGUGAUAUGAACCGUUAUAACCGGCGAUUUCCGAAUGGGGAAACCCAGUGUGAUUCGUCACACUAUCAUUAACUGAAUCCAUAGGUUAAUGAGGCGAACCGGGGGAACUGAAACAUCUAAGUACCCCGAGGAAAAGAAAUCAACCGAGAUUCCCCCAGUAGCGGCGAGCGAACGGGGAGCAGCCCAGAGCCUGAAUCAGUGUGUGUGUUAGUGGAAGCGUCUGGAAAGGCGUGCGAUACAGGGUGACAGCCCCGUACACAAAAAUGCACAUGCUGUGAGCUCGAUGAGUAGGGCGGGACACGUGGUAUCCUGUCUGAAUAUGGGGGGACCAUCCUCCAAGGCUAAAUACUCCUGACUGACCGAUAGUGAACCAGUACCGUGAGGGAAAGGCGAAAAGAACCCCGGCGAGGGGAGUGAAAAAGAACCUGAAACCGUGUACGUACAAGCAGUGGGAGCACAGAGCAAUCUGUGUGACUGCGUACCUUUUGUAUAAUGGGUCAGCGACUUAUAUUCUGUAGCAAGGUUAACCGAAUAGGGGAGCCGAAGGGAAACCGAGUCUUAACUGGGCGUUAAGUUGCAGGGUAUAGACCCGAAACCCGGUGAUCUAGCCAUGGGCAGGUUGAAGGUUGGGUAACACUAACUGGAGGACCGAACCGACUAAUGUUGAAAAAUUAGCGGAUGACUUGUGGCUGGGGGGGAAAGGCCAAUCAAACCGGGAGAUAGCUGGUUCUCCCCGAAAGCUAUUUAGGUAGCGCCUCGUGAAUUCAUCUCCGGGGGUAGAGCACUGUUUCGGCAAGGGGGUCAUCCCGACUUACCAACCCGAUGCAAACUGCGAAUACCGGAGAAUGUUAUCACGGGAGACACACGGCGGGUGCUAACGUCCGUCGUGAAGAGGGAAACAACCCAGACCGCCAGCUAAGGUCCCAAAGUCAUGGUUAAGUGGGAAACGAUGUGGGAAGGCCCAGACAGCCAGGAUGUUGGCUUAGAAGCAGCCAUCAUUUAAAGAAAGCGUAAUAGCUCACUGGUCGAGUCGGCCUGCGCGGAAGAUGUAACGGGGCUAAACCAUGCACCGAAGCUGCGGCAGCGACGCUUAUGCGUUGUUGGGUAGGGGAGCGUUCUGUAAGCCUGUGAAGGUGUACUGUGAGGUAUGCUGGAGGUAUCAGAAGUGCGAAUGCUGACAUAAGUAACGAUAAAGCGGGUGAAAAGCCCGCUCGCCGGAAGACCAAGGGUUCCUGUCCAACGUUAAUCGGGGCAGGGUGAGUCGACCCCUAAGGCGAGGCCGAAAGGCGUAGUCGAUGGGAAACAGGUUAAUAUUCCUGUACUUGGUGUUACUGCGAAGGGGGGACGGAGAAGGCUAUGUUGGCCGGGCGACGGUUGUCCCGGUUUAAGCGUGUAGGCUGGUUUUCCAGGCAAAUCCGGAAAAUCAAGGCUGAGGCGUGAUGACGAGGCACUACGGUGCUGAAGCAACAAAUGCCCUGCUUCCAGGAAAAGCCUCUAAGCAUCAGGUAACAUCAAAUCGUACCCCAAACCGACACAGGUGGUCAGGUAGAGAAUACCAAGGCGCUUGAGAGAACUCGGGUGAAGGAACUAGGCAAAAUGGUGCCGUAACUUCGGGAGAAGGCACGCUGAUAUGUAGGUGAAGUCCCUCGCGGAUGGAGCUGAAAUCAGUCGAAGAUACCAGCUGGCUGCAACUGUUUAUUAAAAACACAGCACUGUGCAAACACGAAAGUGGACGUAUACGGUGUGACGCCUGCCCGGUGCCGGAAGGUUAAUUGAUGGGGUCAGCGCAAGCGAAGCUCUUGAUCGAAGCCCCGGUAAACGGCGGCCGUAACUAUAACGGUCCUAAGGUAGCGAAAUUCCUUGUCGGGUAAGUUCCGACCUGCACGAAUGGCGUAAUGAUGGCCAGGCUGUCUCCACCCGAGACUCAGUGAAAUUGAACUCGCUGUGAAGAUGCAGUGUACCCGCGGCAAGACGGAAAGACCCCGUGAACCUUUACUAUAGCUUGACACUGAACAUUGAGCCUUGAUGUGUAGGAUAGGUGGGAGGCUUGGAAGUGUGGACGCCAGUCUGCAUGGAGCCGACCUUGAAAUACCACCCUUUAAUGUUUGAUGUUCUAACGUUGACCCGUGAUCCGGGUUGCGGACAGUGUCUGGUGGGUAGUUUGACUGGGGCGGUCUCCUCCUAAAGAGUAACGGAGGAGCACGAAGGUUGGCUAAUCCUGGUCGGACAUCAGGAGGUUAGUGCAAUGGCAUAAGCCAGCUUGACUGCGAGCGUGACGGCGCGAGCAGGUGCGAAAGCAGGUCAUAGUGAUCCGGUGGUUCUGAAUGGAAGGGCCAUCGCUCAACGGAUAAAAGGUACUCCGGGGAUAACAGGCUGAUACCGCCCAAGAGUUCAUAUCGACGGCGGUGUUUGGCACCUCGAUGUCGGCUCAUCACAUCCUGGGGCUGAAGUAGGUCCCAAGGGUAUGGCUGUUCGCCAUUUAAAGUGGUACGCGAGCUGGGUUUAGAACGUCGUGAGACAGUUCGGUCCCUAUCUGCCGUGGGCGCUGGAGAACUGAGGGGGGCUGCUCCUAGUACGAGAGGACCGGAGUGGACGCAUCACUGGUGUUCGGGUUGUCAUGCCAAUGGCACUGCCCGGUAGCUAAAUGCGGAAGAGAUAAGUGCUGAAAGCAUCUAAGCACGAAACUUGCCCCGAGAUGAGUUCUCCCUGACUCCUUGAGAGUCCUGAAGGAACGUUGAAGACGACGACGUUGAUAGGCCGGGUGUGUAAGCGCAGCGAUGCGUUGAGCUAACCGGUACUAAUGAACCGUGAGGCUUAACCUU